UACGUAGGGUGCGAGCGUUAAUCGGAAUUACUGGGCGUAAAGCGUGCGCAGGCGGUUAUUUAAGUCAGGUGUGAAAGCCCUGGGCUUAACCUAGGAAUUGCAUUCGAGACUGCGUAGCUAGGGUGCGGAAGAGGGAAGCGGAAUUUCCGGUGUAGCGGUGAAAUGCGUAGGAUAAUCGGAAGGAACAUCAGUGGCGAAAGCGGACUUCCUGGUCCAG
rnacentral:rRNA from 1 species